GACGAACCGUGCAAACGUUGUUCGGAAUCACUGGGCUUAAAGGGCGCGUAGGCGGCUUGCCAAGUCAGGGGUGAAAUCUUUCGGCUCAACCGGAAGAGUGCCUUUGAUACUGGCAAGCUAGAGGGAGGUAGGGGCAUGUGGAACUUCCGGUGGAGCGGUGAAAUGCGUAGAGCUCGGGAAGAACACCGGUGGCGAAAGCGCUCUACUGGGCCUGCACUGACACUGAGGGACGAAAGCUAGGGGAGCGAAUGGG
rnacentral:rRNA from 1 species